rnacentral:rRNA from 1 species
UACGAGUGCCCCAAGCGUUAUCCGGAAUUAUUGGGCGUAAAGGGUGUGUAGGCGGCAUUGUUAGUCUCUUGUCAAAACCUCGGGCUCAACCCGAGACUUGCAGGGGAAACGGCAAAGCUAGAGGGUGCGAGAGGUGAAUGGAACUCAUGGAGUAGGGGUGAAAUCCGUUGAUACCAUGGGGAACACCGAAAGCGAAGGCAAUUCACUGGAGCAUUUCUGACGCUGAAACACGAAAGCGUGGGUAGCGAACGGG